rnacentral:misc_RNA from 1 species
GAUGAAGAACGUAGCGAAAUGCGAUAAGUAAUGUGAAUUGCAGAAUUCAGUGAAUCAUCGAAUCUUUGAACGCACCUUGCGCCUUUUGGUAUUCCGAAAGGCACACCUGUUUGAGCGUCAUGAAUACCUCAAUCUCCAUCUUUUCUUCGGAUUGAUGGGUGACUUGGAUGUUGAGCCCUGCUGGUAUGCUAUAUCAGCUGGCUUUAAACUUAUUAGCCGGCUCUGUACUGGAUCGGUUUGACUCGACGUGAUAAUAUUAUCGUUGAGGAUGCAUGUCUCAUGCAGCUGGAAAGUAUCAAAGCAGCUUCUAGCUUGCCUUUAGUGCACUUUUACAUUUUAGACCUCAGAUCAGGUGGGACUACCCGCUGAACUUAAGCAUAUCAAUAAGCGGAGGA